GAUGAACGCUGGCGGCGUGCCUAAUACAUGCAAGUCGAGCGAACGGACGAGAAUCUUGCUUGUCUGAUGUUAGCGGCGCACGGGUGAGUAACGCGUGGAUAACCUACCUAAAAGACUGGGAUAUCUUCGGGACACCGGAGCUAAUACCGGAUGAUCUUUUGAUCCGCGUGGGUCAAUAGUGAAAGACGGUGUUGCUGUCUCUUCUAGAUGCUUCCCGGCUGCAUUAGCUAGUUGGUAAGUUAACGGCCUACGAAGGCAACGAUGCAUAGCCGACCUGAUAGAGUGAUCGGCCACACUGGAACUGGGACACGGUCAAGACUCCUACGAGACGCAGCAGUAGCGAAUCGUCCGCAGUGGGCGAAAGCCUGACGGAACAACGCCACGUGAGUUAUGGAAGUCUUCGGAGCGUAAAACUCUGUUACUAGGGAUGAACAGAUGUGGAAGUAACUGUGCACAUCGUGACGGUAACUAAUCAGAAAGCCACGGCUAACUACGUG
rnacentral:rRNA from 1 species